rnacentral:rRNA from 1 species
UACAGAGGUCUCAAGCGUUGUUCGGAUUCAUUGGGCGUAAAGGGUGCGUAGGCGGCGCGGUAAGUCAGGGGUGAAAUCCUGGAGCUCAACUCCAGAACUGCCUUUGAUACUGGCGAGCUUGAGUUCGGGAGAGGUGAGUGGAACUGCGAGUGUAGAGGUGAAAAUUCGUAGAUAUUCGCAAGAACACCAGUGGCGAAGGCGGCUCACUGGCCCGAUACUGACGCUGAGGUGCGAAAGCGUGGGGAGCAAACAGGG